rnacentral:ncRNA from 1 species
UAAAUACUUCGCGGGUGCUGGGGAUUGAACCCGGCUGAGAUGCCACAUGGUAUGGAAUGAAAUAGUGACGUUCCAUGGGUGGUGAACCGUUGAACCUGAUCCGGGUAAUGCCGGCGAAUAAGGGAGAAAAUAAUGAGCGUUU